AUUGAACGCUGGCGGCAUGCUUUACACAUGCAAGUCGAACGGCAGCGCGGGCUUCGGCCUGGCGGCGAGUGGCGAACGGGUGAGUAAUGCAUCGGAACGUGCCCAGUAUUGGGGGAUAGCCCGGCGAAAGCCGGAUUAAUACCGCAUACGACCUGAGGGUGAAAGCGGGGGACCGAAAGGCCUCGCGCUAUUUGAGCGGCCGAUGUCGGAUUAGCUAGUUGGUGGGGUAAAGGCUUACCAAGGCGACGAUCCGUAGCUGGUCUGAGAGGACGACCAGCCACACUGGGACUGAGACACGGCCCAGACUCCUACGGGAGGCAGCAGUGGGGAAUUUUGGACAAUGGGGGCAAGCCUGAUCCAGCCAUGCCGCGUGAGGGAAGAAGGCCUUCGGGUUGUAAACCGCUUUUGUUCGGGAAGAAAUCCUCUGGGCUAAUACCCCGGGGGGAUGACGGUACCGGAAGAAUAAGCACCGGCUAACUACGUG
rnacentral:rRNA from 1 species